GACGAACGCUGGCGGCGUGCUUAACACCUGCAAGUCGAACGAAGUGGCGAACGGGUGAGUAACGCGUAAUCAACCUGCCCUUCAGAGGGGGACACCAGUUGGAAACGACUGCUAAUCCCGCAUACUGAAGGAGGGGAUUGCGUCUGAUUCGCUCGUUGAAGGGGUAACGGCCCACCAAGGCGAUGAUCAGUAGCGGGUCUGAGAGUGUGAACGGCCACAUUGGGACGGAGACACGGCCCAGACUCCUACGGGAGGCAGCAGUGGUGAAUCUUCCGCAAUGGACGAAAGUCUGACGGAGCAACGCCGCGGGAGUGAUGACGGCCUUCGGGUUGUAAAGCUCUGUUAAUCGGGACGCGGUACCGGAAUAGAAAGCCACGGCUAACUACGUGCCAGCAGCCGCGGUAAUUC
rnacentral:rRNA from 1 species